UCUCCGUUGGUGAACCAGCGGAGGGAUCAUUACCGAGUUUACAACUCCCAAACCCCUAUGUGAACGUUACCAAACUGUUGCCUCGGCGGGAAAUUCAUGCCCCGGGCGCGUCGCAGCCCCAGACCAAGGCGCCCGCCGGAGGACCAACCAAAACUCUUUUGUAUGUCCCCCGCGGACUUUUAUAAUUCUGAACCAUCUCGGCGCCCCUAGCGGGCGUUUCGAAAAUGAAUCAAAACUUUCAACAACGGAUCUCUCGGUUCUG
rnacentral:misc_RNA from 1 species